UCAAACCAACAUUUUUUACCAGCCCCUGAACUUUCUAAUACAUCAAGUGGUUCUUCUUUAUCACACAUUCAUCAGCAGUUCAACACAUUUUCAAUCAAAUCAAACACAUUCUGCAAGUCAGGGUCAGACUAGUGUAAAAAUGCUGAAACCAGUGUGAUGUGAAGGAAAACACUGGACCGGACCAG